rnacentral:rRNA from 1 species
GACGAACCGAGCGAACGUUAUUCGGAAUCACUGGGCUUAAAGGGUGCGUAGGCGGGCACGCGAGUCAGGGGUGAAAUCCCACGGGCUCAACCGUGGAACUGCUGGGUAUACUGGUUGUCUUGAGCCAGCUAGGGGCGAGCGGAACAGACGGUGGAGCGGUGAAAUGCGUAGAUAUCGUCUGGAACGCCGAAGGUGAAAACAGCUCGCUGGGGCUGCGCUGACGCUGAGACACGAAAGCCAGGGGAGCGAACGGG